CACUGGGAGUCUGACUGACAGCACUGUCACACCUGGACUGGAUCAGACUGCUGCACACUGGGAGACUGACUGACAACACUGUCACACCUGGAGUGGAUCAGACUGCUGGGCACUGGGAGUCUGACAGCACUGUCACACCUGGAGUGGAUCAGACUGCUGCGCACUUACAAGAAGCUGAGUGCAGGCCGGGCUGGAGUCUUGAAUUAAAGAGACCCCCUUAGUGUAUUUAAUUUGUGUAUUAUUUUGAUGUUGUAUUUCACUACUGCUGGUCCUACAGGGGUGUAUUUUAAUGUUUACAGUUAAAAAAGCGAUUUUGCUUAUUUAACUCGUUGUUGCUGCUGCUAUGUGUUAAUAUUUUUGGUGUUUCCUCAAUAUCUCUGUCCUGGAGCCUACGUGCACAGAAGCCUUUCAUUGCGCUUGUGCAGAUGACCGUGAACUGAAGUGAGUUCUUAAUGAGAAACAGGUUGGAAAAACCAAGCGGGCGGGCGCGCUAUAGAGACCAGUCUCUGAUUGGUCAGACGCUGCUGAGUGACAGGGGUUUCCACCUAUUAGAGGAGCUGUUUCCCCAGCCGGGCUAUUUGAACCCGUGGGAGGGGUGUACUCGUCAUUUUUGUUGUGAUGUGUUUUAAAGCAAACAGGUGCUUUGCUUUUACUGCAAGAACAAACGUGUUUUUCAAGGGGGCAGCACAGCUCAGACUGACCCAGUGUUCCCUGUAAUAGAAGAUUACUGGCUGCUCACUGUGCUGCUUAUUCUGUGUGAUGGACAGACACUGUACUGGGUGGGCUCCUGAGAAGACUGCCGAACCCAGAAGAGGGAAUGUAAUUAGAGAGGAGGGACAGUGAGGUGAGCUGAUCAUUGUCUUGAUG